rnacentral:RNase_P_RNA from 1 species
UGCUGCGGCUCAGACGGUCGCUGGGCCUUCGUGGCUCAGAGGAAAGUCCGGGCUCCACAGGGCAGAGCGCCAGGUAACGCCUGGUGGGGGUGACCCCGAGGAAAGUGCCACAGAGAACAGACCGCCUGCCGCCACCUCGGCUCGCAGGUAAGGGUGAAACGGUGGGGUAAGAGCCCACCGCGAGGUUGGUAACAACCUCGGCACGGCAAACCCCGCUCGGAGCAAGGUCAAGUAGAGGAGCGCUCGAGGGCUGCCCGCCCGAGUUCCCGGGUAGACUGCUAGAGGCUCGGUGCGAACCGAGUCGUAGAGGAAUGAUCGUCAGCUGGCUCGAGGCGACUCGAGCCGACCACAGAACCCGGCUUACGAGCUCAGCAACCA